AACGUAGGACACAAGCGUUAUCCGGAGUUACUGGGCGUAAAGGGCGUGUAGGCGGACCUAUAAGUCUAUUCUGAAAGCUCCUGGCUAAACUGGGAGAGGCGAAUGGAGACUGUAGAUCUAGAGUGAGGAAGAGGAAAGUGGAAUUCCGCGUGUAGUGGUGAAAUGCGUAGAGAUGCGGAGGAACACCAGUGGCGAAGGCGGCCAACUGGUCCGGUACGUG
rnacentral:rRNA from 1 species